CACCCCACCUGCAGUCUUCACCACCUCGCCGGCGGCCACGGGGGCUAAAAACGAUAAGAGAGACGGUGGGGGGUGCAUUUUGUGGGCAUCUGACUCUUCCAGGGCUGGGCGGAGCCAAGGACACUGGGCUUGGAGUCAUUCGGGCUGGAUGGGGCUGAACCCGCCCAUGUCUAUGGCCUGCUGAGUCCUGUCCUCUUGCAGAGCUCUUUUCGUCAUCUGCGCAAUGGCAGGAAUGAGACGGAAACCAGUGAAGCGUUCCUCGCAGGGCCUGGACUUAUCUUGGAUAACAUUUGCAGUGACCUUAUGAGGUAAGGAUGGCCACUUGGAACCCUUGAAGCUGUGAGUCCCCUUGACUUCCUCCCAGGCACUGCCCUCCCAGAAGUGAAGGUACCAGGAGGCAGAGGAAACAGUAGCACCACGGUGCCAUCCUGGAUCCAACGGAGCAGGUGACAGACAGCAGGGGUCACAGGCAGGCCAACUUGGACUGAGGAAAAAAAAGUCGCAGGAAAGCAGCUGGGCAUCCUGCCUUGCUUCGCCCUUGGACUUCUGCAGGGUCCGUUUGCCCUUUGUUUGACUCCCAGACCCCACUGAGCUGGGAACCAACCAGUGGGCUGGAAGCCCAGGAUGGGGUGGCCCACCUAGUAGGGACGACAUUUACUUGCACAAAAGAUGGUCUCCAGGAGCCCCUUCAGGACCGAAGCAGGGAAACACUGUCGCCCUGGAGAGCUGGGAGAGGGGGAGGCAGCAGCAGUCGCUGGCCAGAGAGGGGCGAAACAGAGCUCAGGGUCCCUGCAGCGGGUGGGGGAAGCUCAGGUCCAGGUGGGCUUUGUGUUCCUUGAGGUUCUCCGCCAAGGUUCUGCUUCAUCAGGCCUCUGCCGAGUUCUCUGGCCUCACCUGUCCACCGCUGCUCCGUGCAGCCACCUUUCCCCUGCUCCCCAAGGUGCGUCCAUUUCUGAGUUUCCCUCCUCUGGACCUGUGACCAUGCCAUCCCUCCUGCCUGGACUGCCUCCCAGUCUCUCAGUAGUACCACCUCCAGGUUCAGCUUGUGGUUCCGGCUGGUGGGUGUGCCACAGCCAGACGCUGUGCUCAGCGGGGAUACCCUAACCCUGGGUGAUCUGGGGUCACUCCCGUCAACCUGGGGGGCUCUGCAGGCAGGGAAGAGCCUCCUGGGUCUCUGCUCCAGCCCUGGCUUUACACAAAUGUGCCUGAGAAAACACGGUGUCCUGACACCUGGCCUCAUGCCACCUGGUGACGGCAUCUGAGCCAUCACCAGUGAUCAUUCACCCCUUUUCCCUUUUCCAGACAGCACGAAAAUCCAACACGCCCCUCACCGGAGGACUGGGAGGCUCCCGCGUUUUGGAUUCUGAAAAGCACUCCCUCGUUCACGUCUGCCUGGAUUCGCGCCCUCAAGCCCCCUGGCGCCCACUUUUCUUGCUCUCCAAACACUCGUUGAGGCCCGAGAGGGAGAUGCGAAGUUUGCCCACCACUGCGCGUCCCUCCUCCGCGAGGCGCCAAUGGGCCUGAGUCAGGGGCCUCCCCUUCAUCCGCUGGUCCCUCCCCUGUUCCCAGCUCCAGUUCCUCACCCGCUAUGGCUGGCCUGGCGCCUGUGGCCGUUCACCGUCUGCGAGGCAUCUGCGGGGACUGAAGUCGGGGAGGCAGCGGCGGGCUCUGGCAGAUACCAGGAGAUCCCGCCCCUCGGCCCGGGAGACCCCGCCCCUCGGCCACGCCCCUUUCCGCUCCCCACCCCGCCCUCUUGGGCCCCCCACCCGGCCCAGCCAGACAGAGACCUGCCUCCAGGUGGGUGGGAGGAGACCUUCAGUCCCUCGCCCCGGGCCUGUUGUCACUACCUCCCCCAAACACAUUGGUUAAAGUCACCCGAUUAGAAGGGGCCACCUGUGAGACUUGGAUCCAAAGCAAACUAGCGGAAGCUGAAGGGUCUUGGGGCUUCCCAGGCCUCUCGGAGGCCGGGAUGGUCGUGGAGGAGGGAGCGCUCAGUGCCUGGCCUACUGCCUGCCCUGAGCCGGCUCCCUACAGGACGCUUCUCCUGUACCUUCCACCUGCUGCGAGGAAGGGCUGGGGGCAGGCGUACCCAUUUUCCAGAGGAGAACUGAAGGCUCUCACCCCGGGUUAGGCCAGUGGCCGGAGGCAGAGCCGGGCCUUGAACCUGGCUUUCUGGAUCUUCAUCCAGGCCAUUCUAAAGGGGAUCACAGUUUCCAGGAGUCACUCCUGAAGAUGGUCAAGUACCAUGGAGGGGCAGGGCAUCCAUGGACCCUGAUUUGAGGCCCCGGAGCAGUUGGGACUGGUUUGGGCCACGGCUGGCCUAAUCUCCCCUCCACAGAGCCUGGGCAUUGUCCAGUUGGCAGCCAAGAGCCAUCUAUCCACUUUACAGCGGGCAGCUUUGACAGGCUGCUUGUUUCCAAGGACAAAGCCUGCAGGCUGUGGAAUGUUGAGAAUCACCUCUUUCUCUCAGGGACAUAAAGCAUGGCUGUGAGAGAGAUUUGUUUCUAGGAUGCUUUCCCUGACCUCCACUUAAAUUGGCUCAGGAGUUCCCUGAUCUCCACAAAUGUCAGGAACUUGUCCACCCGCCUGCCCCCAGCACCCAGGUUACACCUGACAAAGUAAGCGCUUUGGAAUGCUCCAACAGACCUAGUCAUACCAUACCCGGACAGAUGCCUUGCGUGUGUGUUUGAGGGUGGUGGUGCUGGGGACAGUGGGAAGGGACUCUGCCUCAUGGACCCCCAAGGCCAGACACCUGCACUGCUGCUUGUGGCCACUGGAGGGCGAAACAACUAUUUAGUGCCUACCUGCGGCAGGCCCCUCCUCAGCCUGGGAGAAAAGAGAUGCCCCUCCCGCCCACCCCCACCUGUCCCCACCUGUCCCCACUUGUCACUGGGGCAGCUCCGGAAGUAAAACGUGGACGCAGCUGGUGCAGUGGCCUUGAGCUGGCAGUCAGAACCUCUGCCUACCCCCAUCCCCCAUUCCAGGCCCUUCUCUGCCAACAACCAGCAUAGGGACCUGAAUAAGUCACAUCUCUGCUCUUGGUUUCAGAUGAUCUGUGACAUGCCUGGCCUGGAGCCUGGCACACAGCAGGUGCUCAGUAAAUACAUAUUUGGCCGGGCGCGAUGACUCACGUCUGUAACCCCAUCACUUUGGGAGGCCGAGGUGGAUGGAUCACCUGAGGUCACGUGUUUGAGACCAUCCUGGCCAACAUGGCGGAACCCUGUCUCUACUAAAAAUACAAAAAUUAGCUGGUUGUGGUGGCGCGUGCCUGUAAUCCCAGCUGCUGGGGAGGCUGAGGCAGGAGAACCUGGGAGGCGGAGGUUGCAGUGAGCCAAGAUCAUGCCAUCACACUCCAGCCUGGGUGACAGAACAAGGCUCAGUCUCAAAAUGAAUACAUACAUACAUACCUAUUUGUAUUAGGAGGAGAAAACCAAGAACCAGAGAAGAGAAGAGAAGGGAAGGGACCUGUGGCCACAUAGCAAGGCCAUGGCACAGCCGAAGUCUCCUCUGCUUUCCUCAUGCAGCCCCGUCCAACCCAUCUCUUUCAUCUCUUUUCUUAAAACUUAAAAAUAUUUUCAGGGGGGUGUGGUGGCUCAUGCCUAUAAUCCCAGCAAUUUGGGAGGAUGAGAUGGGAGGAUUGCUUGAGCCCGGGAGUUUGAGGCUGCAGUGAGCCACUGUAGUCCAGCCGGGGUGACACAGCCAGACUCCAUCUUUUUCUCUGUAUAUUUUUUCACCUCUACCUGAUGUGACUGAGUAACUGCUGGGGUACAUCACCUCUUUCAGGUGAUGGAAAUGUUCUAAAGUUGAUUAUGCUGAUGGUUGGUUGCCCAGCUGUGAAUGCAGUAAAAACAUUGAGCCGUACACUUUAAAUGGACAAGUUAUGUGUGAAUUAUAUCUCAAUAAAGCUCUGUGCCCCACCCAAAUCUCCUGUCAAACUGUGAUUCAUAGCGUUGGAAGUGGGGCCGGGUGGAAGGUGACUAGAUCAUGGGGGCGGAUCCUUCAUAAAUGAU
rnacentral:lncRNA from 1 species